rnacentral:rRNA from 1 species
AUUGAACGCUGGCGGCAGGCCUAACACAUGCAAGUCGAGCGGAUGAAGGGAGCUUGCUCCUGGAUUCAGCGGCGGACGGGUGAGUAAUGCCUAGGAAUCUGCCUGGUAGUGGGGGAUAACGUCCGGAAACGGGCGCUAAUACCGCAUACGUCCUGAGGGAGAAAGUGGGGGAUCUUCGGACCUCACGCUAUCAGAUGAGCCUAGGUCGGAUUAGCUAGUUGGUGGGGUAAAGGCCUACCAAGGCGACGAUCCGUAACUGGUCUGAGAGGAUGAUCAGUCGCAAUGGGACUGGAGCACCGCACAGGCCCCCUCGGGGGGGAACAGGGGGGAAAUUUGGAAAAAGGGGGGGAGCCCGGCUCCAGCAAUCCGGUGGGUGGAAGAAGGGUUUUGGAUUGUAAAGGACUUUUAAUUGGGGAGAAGGGCAAGUAGGUUAAUCCCUUGUUGUUUUGCCUUAACAAAAAAAAAAAGCCCGGGCAAGUUUGGGC